GCGCGAGGUUGAAGUGUACAGUCAGUGCUUAGUGCGUCGUGCAUCUCAUUCUUGGGCAGGAUUAUGUUGGCGACAGUCAGACACGAGCCUAUGCUCAGGCAGCGCACAAAGCAGCUUCUGAACCAUUGAAACGGCGGACCAUCAACCAGAGGCGAACUAAGCAUAACGGCAUCCUAUUCAGCCAAACGGUUGAUGGAUGAUGGACAAUGACAGGUUUCAGAUCGAAUGUUGCCUGGACUACUGAUGACCAUUCCAUGGCCUUCUGGCCAUCUUAUGCAGAUCCCAAUCAAAAUGGCAUUACUGAUGCAUGAAGUCCUUGGACCAUCGUGGACCACCCACACCAUUGUAAUUUUGGGCACUGCAGGACGUACCUAAGGCGUGGGACUAGUAGAACAUAAACGGCACCAACUACGUCAGCACAUCCCCCAGUAUUGUGGCUCCUGCUGGGCAAACGGCAGCAGCAGUGCCAUGGUGCUGGUCUUCGCUGGAUUUGCCACGCUUUGUUUUUUACUCACCUAAGACAGUAAUUGCUCCAUAUCUGAUGUCAUUGGUAUCAAAACAUAUUUUUGGCGACAUCUGACAAGUGAUACAUUUGAUCUGUAUUUUCUAGAUGACUGGCUUUAUAAAAUCCAAUGUCCUUUGAGUCCAUGGGGCUGAAGAACAGUGACUAGUUUCAAAAACCUCCUAAAAAGUUAUGUACGUUUUUUUUGUGUUCCCUCAUCGCGAGUGAGGCAAGGUGGCAAUUGUUGGUCCACAUGUAUGUUUGAUUUUCAAUAUUGUCUUUGAGUUUUCUGGGUUUCAUGAAGGCUCUUUCCAAUGUGAUGUGCCGGUUGUUGUAAAACCAAUUGGGGUUUCCUGCAAACUUUUUUAAUUUCGUGUAGUUUUCAAAUGGAAAGGCUGAUACUCCAUUCAAUGUUCCAUAUCUCCUGACAUCAUAAGCUAGAUGGCAUAAAUUAUGCACAUUAUACACCAAUUCAUUUGCUCCAUAUAAUUGUUCAAAUUCAUUCAAAAAAUGGGACUGAGAUUGAUAAUAAAGAGAUUGAGGAAAUUGGUGCAUUGGGAAGAUGGAACGAUGCCUUACAAAACAAUUGGGCACAGAAGGAACUCAAUUUCUGACAAACGUCUUGGCUUUGAAAUUCAAUUAGGAUGUGUUAUCUUAGCUGCACCAGUCUUGCAGACAUAGCCAUCACUGCCUGAGAAACCAGCUUACAAAACAGAUCUCCUUUCAUCCAAAAACGCAUCAGUUUUCGAGUGACGCCUAGACAAACGAGAUGCAUGUAAUCCAGGAUGAACAUUAUCAUGCCUAGAUUAAUUCGAGUAAGGGGGGAGUCGCCCUUGUGGUGGUCCUCAUCCACUUUUCUCAAAAACUGGUCAUCUGUGCGGGGCACAGCUGUCUUAGGGAAAGUCAUAUGGUUGUGUAUCAAAUGGCACUUUGCCGAAGAUUGGCUACAACUGCAAAGCUGAGCUCUUAUACAAGGGCAAAGCAUCCACAUUAACUUGUAAACCAAUCAACUCGCUAACAUUGUGGAGGGCAUCUGUUGGUAUUGUCUGGAGGUGUUUAGGAAUGCAAAUGUGUAAAUAUUCCGCUCCAUAGGCUGCUAUUUUAGCUGUUUUUAGCAGGGUUCGAGCUUGCUUUGGCAGGCUUGGAUGGAACUCCUGUAGCACACUAAGAAGAUCAGAGGUGUUCUGUGGCGCAUCGUUCCUCAGAUCCCAG